GUGCCAGCAGCCGCGGUAAUACGGAAGGUCCGGGCGUUAUCCGGAUUUAUUGGGUUUAAAGGGAGCGCAGGCUGAUGAUUAAGCGUGACGUGAAAUGUAGCCGCUCAGCGGCUGAACUGCGUCGCGAACUGGUUAUCUUGAGUGAGUUCGAUGUUGGCGGAAUUCGUGGUGUAGCGGUGAAAUGCUUAGAUAUCACGAAGAACUCCGAUUGCGAAGGCAGCCAACAAGGCCUUUACUGACGCUAAAGCUCGAAGGUGCGGGUAUCGAACAGGAUUAGAUACCCUGGUAGUCCGCACGGUAAACGAUGGAUGCCCGCUGUUUGCGAUAUACUGUGAGCGGCCAAGAGAAAUCGUUAAGCAUCCCACCUGGGGAGUACGCCGGCAACGGUGAAACUCAAAGGAAUUGACGGGGGCCCGCACAAGCGGAGGAACAUGUGGUUUAAUUCGAUGAUACGCGAGGAACCUUACCCGGGCUUGAACUGCCAGUGAACGAUACAGAGAUGUUGAGGCCCUUCGGGGCACUGGUGGAGGUGCUGCAUGGUUGUCGUCAGCUCGUGCCGUGAGGUGUCGGCUUAAGUGCCAUAACGAGCGCAACCCUUUUCAUUAGUUGCCAUCAGGUAAUGCUGGGCACUCUGGUGAUACUGCCACCGUAAGGUGUGAGGAAGGUGGGGAUGACGUCAAAUCAGCACGGCCCUUACGUCCGGGGCUACACACGUGUUACAAUGGGAGGUACAGAGAGUCGGUGCAUGGCAAUAUGCAUCUAAUCCUAAAAGCCUUCCUCAGUUCGGAUUGGGGUCUGCAACCCGACCCCAUGAAGCUGGAUUCGCUAGUAAUCGCGCAUCAGCCAUGGCGCGGUGAAUACGUUCCGUGGCCUUGUACACACCGCCCGU
rnacentral:rRNA from 1 species